rnacentral:sRNA from 1 species
UCUAAUUGCAACACUCAUUGUAGAUCUUGCACUGCUUAUUCUUGGAAUUUGGUUCUGGAUUAUUAGCUAUUCAUGGUUCGGCAAACUUGGGGGCUCUACCCCAAUUGAUUAAUCAAAUGAAGGGGUUGCUCUCAUGUGUUAUUACACUGGGGAAUGGUC